CACCUCUUCCCAUUCCGAACAGAGAAGUUAAGUCCCUUAUGGCCGAUGGUACUGCACAACAAUGCGGGAGAGUAGGUAGCUGCCAUAU
rnacentral:rRNA from 1 species